AUGCAUAUUGAAGAGUUAUUAAAGUUAAAAGCUAUAAGAGAAAGCAUAAGUCCUCAUCGGUCUGCUGCAUUGAUAGUUAGAAAUCACGCUGAAGAAGUAAGAGGUAAAUCCAGAAUGGUAAUUAAUUUUAAAUGGCUUAAUGAUAAUACAAUUGAUGAUGCAUACAAUAUACCUAAUAAGCAGGAAUGGAUUAACAGAAUACAAGGAAGUAAAUAUUUCUCAAAAUUCGACUUAAAGGCAGGAUUUUGUCAAGUAGAAAUGGCUGAAGAAUCUAUUCCUUGGACAGCAUUUACUUGUCCACAAGGCCAUUAUGAAUGGCUAGUAAUGCCAUUAGGUCUAAGGAAUGCGUCUGCAUUAUUUCAAAGAAAAAUGCAAAAUAUAUUUAAUGAGAAUCAAGCAUUUAUAUUGGUAUAUGUAGAUGAUUUGUUAGUAUUCUCAAAAUCAUACAAAGAGCAUAUAGCCCAUAUUGAAGUGUUCUUUCGAAAGGUAGAACAAAAUGGGCUCAUACUAUCCAAAAAGAAGAUGGAAAUUUGCAAAGAAAAAAUAAAUUUCUUGGUCAUGAAAUAG
rnacentral:rRNA from 1 species